UGUCACCAGCAACACCGUGAAAACAUAUUUGAAUGAUUACAAAAUUGGGAAGGCAUUCGAAUAUUGUGAAUCGAACUUUAUAAAAGAAAUAUUUUACCAUCCAAUUUACUCAUCGUCUGCAUUAUGCUUCCUGAGAGCCAAGUGUACCCCUAGUCAAAGACUCAAAGAAGAGAGCCAUACCCUUUGGGUAGCCAUAUCUAAGGAAUCUGGUUGUGUGAAGGUGGCCUUUUGCUCCUGUACUGCAGGAAUGGGUCAGACAUGCAAUCAUGUAGCAGCCCUAAUGUUUAGGGUAGAGUCAGCAAAUAAACUGGGCCUGACUUCAUGUACAUCUUUACCAUGCCAGUGGAAGGUACCAUCAGCAACAACAGAAAUUGUGCCUGUCAAAAUAAAGGACUUAAGUGUUCGAAAGUCUCGUCAUGGACUAG